rnacentral:lncRNA from 1 species
CUUGGCCUCCCAAAGUGCCGAGACUGCAGCCUCUGCCCGGCCGCCACCCCGUCUGGGAAGUGAGGAGCGUCUCUGCCUGGUCGCCCAUUGUCUGGGACGUGAGGAGCCCCUCUGCCUGGCUGCCCAGUCUGGAAAGUGAGGAGCAUCUCUGCCCGGCCGCCAUCCCAUCUAGGAAGUGAGGAGCGCCUCUUCCCGGCCGCCAUCCCAUGUAGGAAGUGAGGAGCGUCUCUGCCCGGCCGCCCAUCGUCUGAGAUGUGAGGAGCGUCUCUGCCCGGCCGCCCCGUCUGAGAAGUGAGGAGCCCCUCCGCCCGGCAGCUGCCCCGUCUGAGAAGUGAGGAGCCCCUCCGCCCGGCAGCCACCCCGUCUGGGAAGUGAGGAGCGUCUCUGCCUGACAGCCACCCCGUCUGGGAGGGAGGUGGGGGGGGUCAGCCCCCCGCCCGGCCAGCCGCCCCGUCCGGGAGGUGAGGGGCGCCUCUGCCCGGCCGCCCCUACUGGGAAG